CCUACGGGUGGCUGCAGUGAGGAAUAUUGGUCAAUGGUCGCAAGACUGAACCAGCCAUGCCGCGUGCAGGAAGACGGUCCUAUGGAUUGUAAACUGCUUUUAUACAGGAAGAAACCCUCCCACGUGUGGGAGCUUGACGGUACUGUAGGAAUAAGGAUCGGCUAACUCCGUGCCAGCAGCCGCGGUAAUACGGAGGAUCCAAGCGUUAUCCGGAAUCAUUGGGUUUAAAGGGUCCGUAGGCGGUCUUAUAAGUCAGUGGUGAAAGCCCAUCGCUC
rnacentral:rRNA from 1 species